rnacentral:SRP_RNA from 1 species
GCCGGGCGUGGUGGCAUGUGCCUGUAGUCCCAACUACUUGGGAGGCUGAGGUUGGGGGAUUGUUUGAGCCCAGGAGGUUGAGGCUGCAGUGAUAUAUGAUCACGCCACUGCACUCCAGCCUGGGCAACAGAAUGAGACCCUGUCUCAA